CAAAGCAUGUUGAUUCUGGAACUCAUAUAUAUCAAGGAUUUUGAAAGAAUGAGUUAGAAGCAUUUGAGUCAUAAAUACAACCUUACAAAAGCAUAAGGUGAUAAUUUGAUGCAUAGAAACUCGUAAAAUGUUUCAGUACAAUAGUCAAUGGUGCAGUAACA